UCCCUCUCUUCAACGCUCCCUCUUUCUCUCGUUCCGACGCUCACUCGCCGGCCACCACACGUCCUCUGUUAUCGUUCCCUCUCUGUUAGGUUUUAACAUGUUGGGUUAAGAAACCAGAAAAGACAGUUCCAAAGCCUUGAUCAGAAUCGAAGGCUUUGUAGUAAAAGAAACCAAGAAAAUAACAGAACAAAGAUUAGGGAAAAGUUCUUAAUCUGACAGGGAACAAGCUUUCUGGUCCAAUUGCUAAGGCUCUCAAGGAUAAGGCAGAUAAAGCUUUGCAAUUAAGG